rnacentral:misc_RNA from 1 species
AAAUGCGAUAAGUAAUGUGAAUUGCAGAAUUCAGUGAAUCAUCGAAUCUUUGAACGCACAUUGCGCCCGCCAGUAUUCUGGCGGGCAUGCCUGUUCGAGCGUCAUUUCAACCAUCAAGCCCCCGGGCCUGUGUUGGGGACCUGCGGCUGCCCGCAGGCCCCGAAAACCAGUGGCGGGCUCGCUGUCACCCCGAGCGUAGUAGCAACACCUCGCCCAGGGAGUGCCGCGGGUUCCGGCCGUAAAACCUCGCCCUCGCGGCGAGAACACCCCCCCCAAGGUUGACCUCGGAUCAGGUAGGAAGACCCGCUGAACUUAAGC